rnacentral:rRNA from 1 species
AGCAGCCGCGGUAAUUCCAGCUCCAAUAGCGUAUAUUAAAGUUGUUGCAGUUAAAAGCUCGUAGUUGAAUUUCGGGAUUGGCGCAUCGGUCGUGCCUCACGGGGUAUGAACUGGUGCAGUCAAUUUCUCACCUUCUGGAGAACCGCGAUGUCCUUAAUUGGAUGCCGCGGGGAACCAGGACCUUUACUUUGAAAAAACUUAGAGUGUUUAAAGCAGGCAUUUUUGCUUGAAUACAUUAGCAUGGAAUAAUAAAAUAGGACGGCAUGGUUCUAUUUUGUUGGUUUCUAGGACCACCGUAAUGAUUAAUAGGGAUAGUUGGGGGCAUUAGUAUUCAAUUGUCAGAGGUGAAUUCUUGGAUUUAUUGAAGACUAACUACUGCGAAAGCAUUUGCCAAGGAUGUUUUCAUUAAUCAAGAACGAAAGUUAGGGGAUCGAAGACGAUCAGAUACCGUCGUAGUCUUAACCAUAAACUAUGCCGACUAGGAAUCAGACGAUGUUAAUUUUUUAAUGACUCGUUUGGU